rnacentral:ncRNA from 1 species
UGGUGUCGGCCCCAACAGGGUUAAUAGGGAACAAGGCGCACAAUCUACCGUGUAAACCUUGGCUGUACCCGCAACUGUAAGCGGCCAGCGGAGGGUCCAUGUGCCACUGGCGAGAAGCCGGGAAGGCAGACUCUUCGCAUCGAUCCGCGAGCCAGGAGACCUGCCGGCAC